rnacentral:rRNA from 1 species
AUUGAACGCUGGCGGCAGGCCUAACACAUGCAAGUCGAACGAGUGGCGGACGGGUGAGUAAUGUAUGGGAAACUGCCUGAUGGAGGGGGAUAACUACUGGAAACGGUAGCUAAUACCGCAUACCAUCGGAUGUGCCCAGAUGGGAUUAGCUAGUAGGUGGGGUAAAGGCUCACCUAGGCGACGCUACCUAGCUGGUCUGAGAGGAUGACCAGCCACACUGGGACGGAGACACGGCCCAGACUCCUACGGGAGGCAGCAGUGGGGAAUAUUGGACAAUGGGCGCAAGCCUGAUGCAGCAAUGCCGCGUGUAUGAAGAAGGCUUUCGGGUGGUAAAGUACUGUCAGCGGGGAGGCGUUACCUGCAGAAGAAGCACCGGCUAACUCCGUGCCAGCAGCCGCGGUAAUUC